CCGCAGGCCCCGCUCGGUGCCGGACGACGCCAAGGGCUGCCAGCUUGGGUAGAGAGGAGCCCUGCCCUCAGCCUCGCCCGCCGCCGGGCCUGCAGGGGCCGCGGGAGCUCGGCGCCCGCCCGUCCGCGAGCCUCUCCGUCGGCGCGCGGGAGCGGCGGCGGCAGCCUCGCCGGCUCCCUCCCGCCCGCGGGUGGAGACUUCCGGACGCCGCUGAGGAGAUUCCAGCCGGCGUUCGCGGGGGCGCAGAGCAGUAGCUAUAGAGUCUCCUGCGUUGAACGGGGACCCCAGGAACAGUUGUUCUCCACACUACAUCCACCACUAGCAGCCCAGCGAGUACCUGAAGGCCUUGGUGGCUGCGGGGGUGAUUAGCCAGGACUCUGCCAGCAUUUCAGCCUCAGAGUUACCUGUCACCACUCACAGUCCCUGCAGAGGCCAGAGAUUUCUCCUGGAAGGAAAGACUCAAGAGAAAUCACAGGGAUAAAGGCAGAGUGCAGCCAAGCCUUGCCUGUGCUGAUGCCCAAGAGGGUGAAGAGGGUGAAUGAUUUCUGGUGAGAAUUUUAAAGUCCCCCAAGUAAUAGAUCAUCUGCGAGCAUACUGUGUCUUCCUGCUCAUUCUAAAUGCAUGUCAUUCCAGAACUUUAAUGGGGGAAUUUCUUUAUCUCCUAAAUAUGCCAAGUGGGGCUUAUGUUUAAAAAACAGUAUCGCGGUACCUCCGAG
rnacentral:lncRNA from 1 species